AACUCUCAGCAACGGAUAUCUUGGCUCUUGCAACGAUGAAGAACGCAAAGAAAUGCGAUACGUAGUGUGAAUUGCAGAAUUCCGUGAAACAUCGAGUUUUGA
rnacentral:rRNA from 1 species